GGGGUUGUGGCUCAGUGGUAGAGCAUUCGCCUAGCACGUGCAAGUCCCUCAGUUUGAUUCUCUGCACCA
rnacentral:tRNA from 1 species